rnacentral:lncRNA from 1 species
ACAUCUCUUGGAGUUCUAGCUCACCUUUCUGGUGUUGUUCUUGUACUCAUCUGUUUAAUCUAGUUCUGCCACUUCUUCUUGAACUUCUUGUUAGAUUUCAAGUCUGUAUUUUGUGUCCGUGGCAAUAUAGCAUAAUAAAUCCAAGGAUUUUACUAGUGUAUCAUUAGCCAUUUAGAGUAUAAAAAAAAACUAUUUGAAGAUAUAAUAAGUCUAAAAAAAUUCAAAUAUGCUCAAUUACGACAUUAAUCCUAAAUCUCCUAUCUACUAAUACAUUUGGUAGUUCAUAUUUGCUUAUUUGUAGAUCAAUGAAUUUGGAAUUUGAAUCCAUUGUUGCAACAUUCAUUUCCACAAUAGUUGAUGAUGGGUUGUGAGUUCUAAUGAACUUAGUUUAUUACAAAUAUUUCAGUGGUUCUAGGCUUAGGCAAAAUAAUUAGAUCAAAGAUUUAAUAACUUUAGUAUUAUUCUUUCAACUUGAAAGACCUAAAUUCAUUUUGGCUCCAUUAUUAUAGUUGUUGGUUUUGGU